rnacentral:rRNA from 1 species
GACGAAGGGGGCUAGCGUUGUUCGGAAUUACUGGGCGUAAAGCGCGUGUAGGCGGUUGCCAAAGUCGGGUGUGAAAGCCUUGAGCUCAACUCAAGAAAUGCACUCGAUACUUGGUGACUAGAGGACCGGAGAGGAUAGUGGAAUUCCCAGUGUAGUGGUGAAAUACGUAGAGAUUGGGAAGAACACCAGUGGCGAAGGCGGCUAUCUGGACGGUUUCUGACGCUAAGACGCGAAAGCGUGGGGAGCAAACAGGAGGCGAAAACACUGUAGUCC